rnacentral:rRNA from 1 species
UGAGGAAUAUUGGUCAAUGGACGCAAGUCUGAACCAGCCAAGUAGCGUGCAGGAUGACGGCCCUAUGGGUUGUAAACUGCUUUUAUAUGGGGAUAAAGUGGGGAACGUGCUCCCUUUUGCAGGUACCAUAUGAAUAAGGACCGGCUAAUUCCGUGCCAGCUGCCGCGGUAAUACGGAAGGUUCGGGCGUUAUCCGGAUUUAUUGGGUUUAAAGGGAGCGUAGGCCGUUUGGUAAGCGUGUUGUGAAAUGUAGGAGCUCAACUUCUAGAUUGCAGCGCGAACUGUCAGACUUGAGUGCGCACAACGUAGGCGGAAUUCAUGGUGUAGCGGUGAAAUGCUUAGAUAUCAUGAAGAACUCCGAUUGCGAAGGCAGCUUACGGGAGCGCAACUGACGCUGAAGCUCGAAGGUGCGGGUAUCGAACAGG